rnacentral:lncRNA from 1 species
AUGUGUUUCAUUUUACCAUGACUCAAUUUUUAACAAAUGGUGAAGUUUGUGAUUUUUUUAUCUAUCAUGAGGGGUUUACCGAGGAACUAUUGACUAGUGAUUUUGUUUGCGUGUCGGUCAGGAUACAUUACACAUUGGUCUAAGGUGAAGGGUUAGAUUUCAGUAAUUCCUGAGUCAUUAAGCUUAUUUUUUUUCUCGAGUUAAAUCUUUCAGUUUCCAAGGUUCGGAAGCAUUUUAUUAGUAAUUAAACAGUUGUGUUUAAAGUAAAGACUAUUGGUUGUCGGUAUCACGGUUUUUGCUAUUUUGGGAAAGGGCCCUUGAGCAGGAAUUGGGAAAAUAUCAUCAGCAUUUGGCAAAAAUUGUAUUUUAGAUGCUCCUUCAUGGAUGGUAAUACUUUGAACAUUGCGCCUUUUUUCGACUGGAAUCCAAUUUUGAAAAUAAACACAGAUAUUAAGAAAAUGUCAUUUUCCAAUUGGGAAUGGGUCCCCGUACCAGACCCUAUAAACACCAGGCAAAAACCCUGGGUAUGGUCACUUGUUUUUGAAAGGCAGCCUUCUGCCACCAAAUCAUUUUGUUGUUUUGACCUCGCCAGAAUCUUCUCUUUGGGUGAAGGGCCGUAGAGUUGUCAGUCAUUUUCAAUUUCCACCCGCUUCGCGAUUUGUUGUUUUCAGCCGAGUUUCAUUGUAAUAUUGGGGAGAUCAGUUGUUUACAUUGUAUCUCAAGUUGUUUGUUUAUACCACCAUUAUAAGUCAGUGUACAUGUUUUUAUACAAUACACAUUUACUGUGUAAUCCACAUCAGGGUCACUGACCUUGACUGUAUCAACAUCAGGGUAACUGACCUUGACUGUAUCAACAUCAGGGUCACUGACCUUGACUGUAUCGACAUCAGGGUCACUGACCUUGACUUUAUCAACAUCAGGGUCACAGACCUUGACUGUAUCAACAUCAGGGUCACUAACCUUGACUGUAUCAACGUCAGGGUCACUGACCUUGACUGUAUCAACAUCAGGGUCACUGACCUUGACUGUAUCAACAUCAGGGUCACUGACCUUGACUGUAUCGACAUCAGGGUCACUGACCUUUACCUUUGAUGCACAUUAACUGUUAAUCAUGGUAAUGGUAUGAUAUUAUAUGUAUUAAUAUACAUGUAUAUGUAUGAGGUGCGAUUAUAUUUACAAAAUAAUCUUGUUAUGUUUUGAAGUGACGGUUAUUCAUGCAUGCACUGGUUUAAACAAGUCUGUCCAGUAUUUUUUCUCUUAUGCAAACUAUUUUACUCUCGCAAUGUCAUUUGUAAGAUAUAAACAACUUAAUGAUGAGCUUUCCAAAUCAUAGUUUUUCUGUGUAUAUACUAAUUUUCUGAAUCAUUGAUGUUUUGAUUGAUAAUCUUAGUGUUCAGUUUAUAUUUUUACACAGAGGAUCAAUUUUUCAAAAACUUUAACAUCUUUUGCGUAACUGAAUUAUUUUUAUCAUUGUUGAGUGUAUUUAAUUGAGAAGAUUUUAUACAUUUGCUUUGUCCCAGAAUUUGAGAAAUGUGUUAUAUUCUCUGUUCUCCUCGUGUAUCUGGAGGCUUUGUGAAGUGAGUCGUUGAGAUCCAUAGAGUUACUGCUUUCGUUGCUGAACCAGUCAUAAGUAGUUUUACAAAUUUCUGUGUAUUUUGGACAAACUACCCAUAUCACUCAACUUGUAUAGCGCACUGGAAAUGUCACCUAUUGACACAGGAGAUGUCACCUAUGGACACAGGAAAUGUUAUUUCUUGAAGAAUAAGUUUUGCCCUUUAAUUUGAGAGUAUAUAUUAUGCAAAUAUAAAUCAGACUGAAUCAAUGAUAAUGUCUUAUAGAAGGAGGACAAAACAUGAGAGAUGUAUGAAAGUACUGAUAAAGGGUAGUACCAGCAAGCAGACUUUUAUCUUAUUGAAAUAGGAAAUUUAAAGAAUGACUUCAAAUUUGAAUUGGGACUUCUUAUAGACAAUGUAUGUCUAUUAAAAAGCAAAAUGAGUUCUGAACAAAUUUGUCCAUAUGUCAAUAAUAAUAUUUCUUACGUCACCUAAGUUAAUUUUUAUUGAUAAUAGUAAACAUAUGUCUAGUAGAUUUAUUUUAUUUCAUAUCAGUAAAUUACACAAUGUAUGGUGAAGGGAAGCGGAGCUUGCACCAGGAAAAGGACAAAGGGGUGUUUAUAUUGGACUGGGUUCUUGUUAGGUGGAUUACAGUAAGGGGACAGUUCGGAUAUAGUGUAUGGUGAAGGGAAGCGGAGCUUGCACCAGGAAAAGGACAAAGGGGUGUUUAUAUUGGACUGGGUACUUUUUAGGUGGAUUACAGUAAGGGGACAGUUCGUAUAUAGUGUAUGGGGAAGGGAAGCGGAGCUUGCACCAGGAAAAGGACAAAGGGGUGUUUAUAUUGGACUGGGUUCUUGUUAGGUGGAUUACAGUAAGGGGACAGUUCGUAUAUAGUGUAUGGUAAAGGGAAGUGAAGCUUGCACCAGGAAAAGGACAGAGGUGUUUAUAUUGGACUAGGUACUUGUUAGUUGGAUUACAGUAUAUAGGAUACAGUAUGAAUUUGUUAUGGUGUGAAGCCCCAGUAUACUGUUAAAAUUAAGCCAAAUACUACCAAAAUAUGCAUUCUUGUGUUAUCUGUUCACCAAGUCCAUGAUAUUUAAUUACUGUACCAAAAAAUAUUUCCAUAAAGAGAGAACAUUCAGAAAAACAUUAUUCUUAAAUUUUUGUUUAAGAAUAGUCAAUACAUCCCUGAUUGUAUGGGGAAAAUAGAGAGAAACAGAAAUUGGUCAAUAUUGGUAGCUUUAUAUGGCAAUUUCAAAUAUUUCAUUUUGAGAAAAUUUAAUAUUUAAUUUAACUCAUUCACCCCUGAAGACACAUGUGAACUCCUCUAAUUUAAAGGUUGGAAAAGUUCAUCAUGAAAUUUCAGGGGUGAAUGAGGUGAAGAGGUUGUCCUAAACAUAGUUGUUAUUCAGGCUUCUGAUUGUAGUCGGAAAGGAAUGUUUUAUGAAGUCUUAUCAAAUUGUUUUAUUUAUAAGAACAAAAUUUUAAGUCUAUCCUUCAUGUAAAUAAUGUUGUUUUCUGAAAUGGACACAUACAAUGAUACUUUGAAAGUCAUUCAGACAAAUUCUCUAGGAAGAAACUGAUUUAUUUGUUGUCUGUUUUUAACAACUUUGUCUGAAAUUAGUUAUUGCUCUGAAAGUUACGUUUGUUGAAGGAUCUUUUAUAGUUUAAGGUGGUUAAAUAUUUUUGUUUCAGAAUCGUUUAAGAUAUUGUCGGCCUUUACCAUGUGUAGCCUAGUCAUCUGUGUUUAUAACAUUUAAACAAUAUCUGUGAUAAAGAGGUUUAUAGAAGGCCUGUAACUGUAGACGGUCAGUGUAUAUACACAUAUAAUUUAUUAAAAUAAUCCUGUAUUAUUAGUUGUACUGACAUUUAUGGUCAAUUUUCAUAUUUAAUUGGCUUACUUUCAUGUGGAGAGUUGUUGACCGUAUUAUAGAACUUGGUCAAUAUUGAAAAUUUAAUAUAUUUGUUUUUCGAUUGAAUUUUUUUUUCAGUUGGUAAACCUGAUUGACAUAGUUAUAUGUAAAAUGCACACAAAUCAGAAACCCAUUACACAAUUGUCAUAAUCAUUGUUGUGUACAUAUCAGGCACGUGUUUAUAAAGGGACAUUUAUUUAGGUAGAAUCAAUGAAAUUUUUGUGAUCAGGAAAAAAACAUUAAUUAUAGCAAUAUUUAUAUGAUAUGAACCGGGAUAAAUUAUGUUUUUUUUUACACUUUUAAACUUUGAAACAAUACAAAGUUCAAAGGUCAGCAGUCUCUGGUAAAGUUCAAAGGUCAGCAGUCUCUGUUGUAAUUUUACUCCCAGUCGAGAGAACAAAGCGUGUUAUAUGAAGGACUGUACCCCACUUGUUAAAAUAAUUGAUGAAUCUAUUUUGAUAUAUGUACAGAUUGCUGAGAGAAAGGAUGACAUUAGUGCUAUGUAAUAAAACAUUCAUUAAUCCUCCAUGAA